UACAGAGGUGGCAAGCGUUGUUCGGAAUUACUGGGCGUAAAGGGCUCGUAGGCGGCCAACUAAGUCAGACGUGAAAUCCCCAGGCUUAACCUGGGAACUGCGUCUGAUACUGGAUGGCUUGAAUUCGGGAGAGGGAUGCAGAAUUCCAGGUGUAGCGGUGAAAUGCGUAGAUAUCUGGAGGAAUACCGGUGGCGAAGGCGGAUCUCUGGGCCAUUACUGACGCUGAGGAGCGAAAGCGUGGGGAGCGAACAGG
rnacentral:rRNA from 1 species